UGGGGUGGUCCUGCUCCCUGGCCCAGGCUGGUAAACAGAUGGCAGAAAUCUGGGGUGUUUCCCCCCUAAAGCCAGCCCCUGCUCUGCUUUAAAGGGCCAGCAGCAUACUCAGGGUGCCAGGUGGCAAGAUGCAGGGGACUUGGGAAAUGCUCCACAAAAGGACACCCCACCUGCACAGCUACAAGGGAACCCCUGGACCUCUCUCGCCAGGCAGCAGACAGCGCUGUGUGGCCGCCUCUGCUGCCUGUCAGGGUGCCGGACAGCACCCUGCCCUCCCGGCUCCAUCCUUCAGGACUAGGGAGAUCUGUGGGUGCAGGACGGUGCACGGUCCAGACUAAAGGCCUGGAGCAUCCCUUGGAUGGAGCAUCUGUCAGGCUCUCAACCCAUGCUGAAGCCCUCUCCUCCAGGAAGUCCUCCUGGCAACACCCACUGGCCCUGUCAUCCCUUGCUUGUGGUUGGUAUCACCAUCUGUGUAGAGAGAAUGCAGCUCAGUGGAGCAGACAGGACCAGGCCUCCAUCAGACACCCCCAGGCUGCUCCAAAGCCUAGGACACGGAAUGGCGGAGGAAGCUACACCCUGAACAUGCCGCGGCUAUCAGAGAGGACU